GGGCCCGCACAAGCGGCGGAGCAUGCGGAUUAAUUCGAUGCAACGCGAAGAACCUUACCAAGGCUUGACAUAUACAGGAAACGUCUGGAAACAGUCGCCCCGCAAGGUCUGUAUACAGGUGGUGCAUGGUUGUCGUCAGCUCGUGUCGUGAGAUGUUGGGUUAAGUCCCGCAACGAGCGCAACCCUCGUUCUAUGUUGCCAGCACGUAAUGGUGGGGACUCAUAGGAGACUGCCGGGGUCAACUCGGAGGAAGGUGGGGAUGAGGUCAAAUCAUCAUGCCCCUUAUGUCUUGGGCUUCACGCAUGCUACAAUGGCCGGUACAAAGGGCUGCAAUACCGUGAGGUGGAGCGAAUCCCAAAAAGCCGGUCUCAGUUCGGAUUGAGGUCUGCAACUCGACCCCAUGAAGUCGGAGUCGCUAGUAAUCGUGAAUCAGCAACGUCACGGUGAAUACGUUCCCGGGCCUU
rnacentral:rRNA from 1 species